rnacentral:rRNA from 1 species
AUUGAACGCUGGCGGCAGGCUUAACACAUGCAAGUCGAACGAGUGGCGGACGGGUGAGUAAUGCUUGGGAAUCUGGCUUAUGGAGGGGGAUAACGACGGGAAACUGUCGCUAAUACCGCGUACCAUAGGAUGAGCCCAAGUGGGAUUAGGUAGUUGGUGGGGUAAUGGCCUACCAAGCCGACGAUCUCUAGCUGGUCUGAGAGGCUGACCAGCAACAUCGGGACUGAGAAACGGCCCGGACUCCAACGGGAGGAAGCAGGGGGGAAUAUUGCGAAAGGGGGACAACCGGACGCAGACAUGCCGCGUGAAUGAAGAAGGCCUUCGGGUUGUAAAGUUCUUUCGGUGACGAGGCGUUAAUCACAGAAGAAGCACCGGCUAACUCCGUGCCAGCAGCCGCGGUAAUUC